CCUACGGGGGGCUGCAGUGGGGAAUAUUGGGCAAUGGGCGCAAGCCUGACCCAGCAACGCCGCGUGAAGGAAGAAGGCUUUCGGGUUGUAAACUUCUUUUCUGAGGGACGAUAGUGACGGUACCUCAGGAAUAAGCCACGGCUAACUACGUGCCAGCAGCCGCGGUAAUACGUAGGUGGCAAGCGUUAUCCGGAUUUACUGGGUGUAAAGGGCGUGUAGGCGGGAUGGUAAGUCAGAUGUGAAAACUAUGGGCUCAACCCAUAGCCUGCAUUUGAAACUAUCGUUCUUGAGUGUUGGAGAGGCAGGCGGAAUUCCGUGUGUAGCGGUGAAAUGCGUAGAUAUACGGAGGAACACCAGUGGCGAAGGCGGCCUGCUGGACAAUAACUGACGCUGAGGCGCGAAAGCGUGGGGAGCAAACAGGAUUAGAUACCCCAGUAGUCC
rnacentral:rRNA from 1 species